rnacentral:rRNA from 1 species
CACGUAGGGUGCGAGCGUUGUCCGGAAUUAUUGGGCGUAAAGAGCUCGUAGGCGGUGUGUCGCGUCGGCCGUGAAAACCUGCAGCUUAACUGUGGGCGUGCGGUCGAUACGGGCAGGCUAGAGUUCGGUAGGGGAGACUGGAAUUCCUGGUGUAGCGGUGAAAUGCGCAGAUAUCAGGAGGAACACCGGUGGCGAAGGCGGGUCUCUGGGCCGAUACUGACGCUGAGGAGCGAAAGCGUGGGGAGCGAACAGG